UUGAGGGCCGGAUAGAAUUACCCAGAGGGCCAGAUCCGGCCCCCGGGCCUUGACUUUAAGUUCUUCAAAGUAAAAAAGAAACUGUCCUUUUGUCAAUUUUGCUUCAUGUAUUUCUGUAGGAUGGAAACAGACCAUCAGAAGUUGUAUCUCUACUCUUGCAGUAGCCGUAUCAUUCUUUGAGUAGCAGCGAUCAUAAAAAAGAGCCUAAAUGUCAGAUAAAAAACUGCAAUAUUGAAUUCCUGCUUUGAAAACAAACAGUCCCUCAUGGAACAGCCAAGGAUCCUCACAGUCGUGUUCAGAAAAGCUCCGGUCCAGAGCUGUAAAGGUCUGCACCUAUUUUUAAAACCAAAGCUGAUAGCAGUUUAAAUCACACCCAGCAGUUGUCAUCUUCUCUUAAAAAAACAGCAGUUUUUAUGCAACAUUUAGGACAGUGCAUAAUCUGUUCACUCAUAUCAGAAACACAGAGAUUAAAGAGCCACAGCUGUUGCUUCUUCAUCUCCGUCCAGCCUGCAGCAGCCAGAGCGGCAUGAGUCAGCAGAAGGCGUGCGGCGAGGCGUCAGGUCGGGCCGUGGUUAGUGAGGUUUGUGAUCAUGCAGGGAGGACAGCACUGAUGGUGGCUCAAUACUCUUGUCGUGACGGGACAUACUUACAAAGAACACGCCUCCCUCCACCUUCCGGGCCCGUCUGCCUGUCACCUUAGCACAAUGACAGUUUUGUUUCACUCACAGUAGACAGUUUUGCACAUGGUUUAACAUCCGCUCAGAGCCUCUGAGACAUCAGUAUAGAUUCCUAUGAAGCUACAGACACUGAUAGAUGAGGGACCUUUUCUCAAAGAUGUCUAAAAACAGGCGAAAUUGUCUUUACAGAGGAGAACACAGUGCUCUUGGUUAAUUGCAGAAAUUUGUACCAGACCUUUGGUGAAGCGUGUGCGUUCGAGUCAGUUUACUCUAUGAAUAACAUGUCACACAGUCUGGACGCCGGCCCAGAGCCUGAGAUAUGAUACUGUAUGUGUUAACUGCCUGUCCUCUCUGAGGGCUCCGACCCGCUGGGUUGGCUCCCACCAUGAGACUUCUCUGCUCCGGCGCUCACAGGACCUUCAAGCUCACUGUCACUGGUUAUAAGGGGCUGAUAAUCAUAAUGGGGACAUGGGAAGGAAAUAAGGGAAGAGGAGGUGGGAGAGAUGAAGAGGAGAGACUCCGAGGCCCAGUGGAGAGUGUCCACCUGAGGUCCAACUACAUGGUCAGGUCAAACCAAAAACUAUAAAUGUGACCUGAUACCUCCCUCAGAGCCAGUGUCAACGUUUUGAUCGAGGGGGUCCACCAUGUGGCUCGGACAGAAGCUAAAUGUAAAGAAGUGACUACAUUAAAUGGUAUCAUCCCUUU